UACGUAGGGAGCAAGCGUUGUCCGGAAUCAUUGGGCGUAAAGCGCGCGUAGGCGGCCCGGUAAGUCCGUUGUGAAAGUCAAAGGCUCAACCUUUGAAUGCCGGUGGAUACUGCCGGGCUCGAGUCCGGAAGAGGCGAGUGGAAUUCCUGGUGUAGCGGUGGAAUGCGUAGAUAUCAGGAAGAACACCCGUGGCGAAGGCGGCUCUCUGGGACGGUACUGACGCUGAGACGCGAAAGCGUGGGGAGCGAACAGG
rnacentral:rRNA from 1 species